AUUGAACGCUGGCGGCAUGCCUAACACAUGCAAGUCGCACGCGAAAGGGGGCAACCCUGAGUAGAGUGGCGGACGGGUGAGUAACGCGUAGGAAUCUACCUGGUAGUGGGGGACAACCCGGUGAAAACCGGGCUAAUACCGCAUACGAUCCACGGAUGAAAGCAGGGGACCGCAAGGCCUUGCGCUAUCAGAUGAGCCUGCGUCGGAUUAGCUAGUUGGUGAGGUAAAGGCCCACCAAGGCGACGAUCCGUAGCUGGUUUGAGAGAACGACCAGCCACACUGGGACUGGGACACGGCCCAGACUCCUACGGGAGGCAGCAGUGGGGAAUAUUGGACAAUGGGGGCAACCCUGAUCCAGCAAUGCCGCGUGUGUGAAGAAGGCCUUCGGGUUGUAAAGCACUUUCGGUGGGGACAAACAAGGUGGAGCUAACAUCUCCGCCUCUGAUGGUACCCAAAGAAGAAGCACCGGCUAACUCUGUGCCAGCCGCCGCAGUAA
rnacentral:rRNA from 1 species